AAAGCAGAAGAAUUGGAAUAUAUUACAUAUGAAAACAAGAUUAUAAAUGUAUAAGGAGAAUGGCUGGCCGAACAGUAUUGUUCUGAUAUAUAUUGAUCUGAUAUAUGAAGACGAUUCUCCGAGCAACAACGAAUGCAGCGUAGCAGCAUCACAUCCAUAAGAACAACCGGAAUAUGGUUUACAAAUUUAAUUAUCUAGGAACUUCGUUUAGUCCUAUUUUUAAAUAUUUCUCAGAGAAGAUUGUGUUUCAAUGUUUGCUAAGGGCACUUGAGAAUAACGCAUAUAUUAGUAACUAAAUUAAUAGGCUUAAGUAUAAUUUAGUUGAUUCAUUUGGUUUGUUAACAAAUUAGAAGUUUUUAGCUUGCGUUCGAAUGGCCGACAGGGAAUGGGGAAAUUCCUAAUAACAGGACGGCCGACUGUUAGCGUUUACAUUUUUAAAUACUAUUCUUGUAUUAAAUAAGUAACACUAUUUUCCAUUAUAAUGAUCUUAUUGUAAUUUAGCUAUUAUUCUGAGAUCUGGGAUUGACCAGAGUAUAGCUGGAACGGAGCAAUCGCUCAUUGUCUAUGGUUUGUCUGUGAUUCGAAAGAGGAAGUGAGAUCCGGUGCCGGCCAUCUUA